rnacentral:rRNA from 1 species
GAUGAACGCUAGCGGCAGGCUUAACACAUGCAAGUCGAGGGGUAUAGUUCUUCGGAACCAGAGACCGGCGCACGGGUGCGUAACGCGUAUGCAAUCUACCUUUCACAGAGGGAUAGCCCAGAGAAAUUUGGAUUAAUACCUCAUAGUAUUAUAGGAUGGCAUCAUUUUAUAAUUAAAGUCACAACGGUGAAAGAUGAGCA